rnacentral:rRNA from 1 species
UACGGGGGGGGCAAGCGUUGUUCGGAAUUACUGGGCGUAAAGGGUCUGUAGGUGGCCAACUAAGUCAGACGUGAAAUCCCUCAGCUUAACUGGGGAACUGCGUCUGAGACUGGAUGGCUCGAGUGCAGGAGAGGAAUGCGGAAUUCCAGGUGUAGCGGUGAAAUGCGUAGAUAUCUGGAGGAACACCGGUGGCGAAGGCGGCAUUCUGGACUGCAACUGACACUGAAAGACGAAAGCCAGGGGAGCAAACGGG